rnacentral:rRNA from 1 species
UACGUAGGGACCAAGCGUUGUCCGGAAUCAUUGGGCGUAAAGAGCGUGUAGGCGGCUUGUUAAGUCUUGCGUGAAAUCUCGGGGCUCAACCCCGAGCGGUCGUGAGAAACUGGCAGGCUAGAGUGCGGGAGAGGAGAGUGGAAUUCCUGGUGUAGCGGUGAAAUGCGCAGAUAUCAGGAAAAACACCCGUGGCGAAGGCGGCUCUCUGGAACGCAACUGACGCUGAGACGCGAAAGCGUGGGGAGCAAGCAGG